GUCUAUGGCCAUGCCACCCUGAACGUGCCUGAUCUUGUCUGAUCCCGGAAGCUAAGCAGGGUCGGACCUGGUUAGUACUCAGAUGGGAGACCACUUAGGAAUACCAAAUGCUGUAGACG
rnacentral:rRNA from 1 species